rnacentral:tRNA from 1 species
AGUAAAGUAAGCUAAAUUUGAAGCUCCUGGGCCCAUACCCCAUGAAUGACGGUGAAACCCCCUCCUCUACUA